AUUGAACGCUGGCGGCAUGCCUUACACAUGCAAGUCGAACGGUAACAGGUCUUCGGAUGCUGACGAGUGGCGAACGGGUGAGUAAUACAUCGGAACGUGCCCGAUCGUGGGGGAUAACGCAGCGAAAGCUGUGUUAAUACCGCAUACGAUCUACGGAUGAAAGCGGGGGAUCGCAAGACCUCGCGCGGACGGAGCGGCCGAUGGCAGAUUAGGUAGUUGGUGGGAUAAAAGCUUACCAAGCCGACGAUCUGUAGCUGGUCUGAGAGGACGACCAGCCACACUGGGACUGAGACACGGCCCAGACUCCUACGGGAGGCAGCAGUGGGGAAUUUUGGACAAUGGGCGCAAGCCUGAUCCAGCCAUGCCGCGUGCAGGAUGAAGGCCUCGGGUUGUAACUGCUUUUGUACGGAACGAAAAAGCUCUCUCUAAUACAGGGGUGAA
rnacentral:rRNA from 1 species